rnacentral:tRNA from 1 species
AGUUAUAUAGUUUAAUAAAAAUAUUAAUUUUGUAAAUUAAAGAUAAAAAUUUUUAUAACUG